GUCACACUGAGCAAAGUCAGUUCCUGUUUAAUAUGUAUUACACUUAGGGUAAAAUAAUUAGUGAAGUUUUGGUGAUACCUAAACCUAAAACAAAUGCACUUGAUAGGAUUUCUUUCUGGUUUUCUUACAGGGUUCUCUCACUGAAGGUCACAAAUAUCUUUGGAAUUCUAAGGCUGAAAAGUUGUACAGAAUAGACACCAGUGCCAAGGGACCAACAGUACAAGAAGAAUUGCUGUGUGAAAGUCAAAACUAGUUCAAUUCAGGCUUGAAGUAAU
rnacentral:lncRNA from 1 species